CCCUUGCCAUGACCAAUCACCCUGACAGAAGUACUAACUCCUGGUAGCCUCCUUAAGAGCAUGGCUUGCAUCAAAGGCUCCAGGGUUAGAGAUGAGCAAGUUUCCUGUGGUCUUUUAUUGCAGGAGGGGAAGUGAAGAAGUCAGCUUAGCUAUUGCAACAGGUGGGUCUGCUUUAAAAACACACCUUUCACUCCUUUCACUCUCUUCUGAGGUAAAGAAAUGAAUGUGGGAAGGGCCCCUUGUAAAAAAGGGGGAAUCUCCUUUCAAAGGGGAGCGUGUGCACCCUUGGUAACCUGACUCGGAGCCGUAGUUCUGUGCACAGUAGCUGCAGUAACUCCCCUACGUGUAAUUUUUUUUUUUCCUCAGGUCUGCUGCUUUGUACCCCUCAGCACCCUGGGAGAUAACGCAGAAAAGCAAAGUGGCCCCUUGGUCCUUUCUGGGUUGCCACGAUUUGAAACGUCAGAUGACAGCAGUUGGCAAGCCUGGCAGGAACACUGCAUUUCACCAAGAAGUGAAAGACCUGAGCGUGCAACACGUGAGAGGAAAAGCACACCUCACAAUUAGAGAAGCUCUCCUCGUAGAGAGGGAGAGGAGUUGCCAUUAAGUUGAAGAAGAGCCUGGGGAAGAGAUUUCGCAGGUAGACAGCCAGCGAGGGCAUCAGGCCGGCCACGAGAACUUCCUUCUUCUUCCGCCCCACUGCACUGAGAACCACCUGAGCGACCUCUGCGGCUGUCUGGCCUUCAGCGGUGUUCUUGUCCAUAACUGCCAAAACAAAGCCGAGGAAACACCAACGUCAGCAGGAAUGUGGCAAACAAGCUGAUCUCUGCCUGCCUGAAGGCUGCAGCGAGCCGUGAACCCAGUCAGCAGCUGCAGCCCGCUUCUGCAGCUUCCAGGCUGGAGUUUGAAUCAACAGGAUUCUUGAGAACUUUGAGCAGAACUGGACUGAGAGAUGAGUUUCUCGUCACACUCUGCAGCAGCACCUGGUAUCUGCUGGGGAAACGGGCGUUCCCUCAGGCAAACCACACUCACUAAAUCCUUUUUAAGCCGUGUUUGACAGGGAAGAAGAGUGAGCGUUGCUUGCAUUUAACAACAGCUAAAUGUUUUUGGUGAUCCAACCGCUUUGGAGAGAAAUUGACACAAAACGUAUAGACACUGAGGUCAGGGGAAAAGAAGGAAGACAGCAUUGUCUAUUCAAUCAGUGAUUUAAUACAAGCGAACGGGAGAUUUGACAACUUCUCUGACUCACCAGGUCCCCACAGAAUGGUAAGUGAAGGUUCAAAAAGCUCGCUCAGAAUCUCAUGAGAAAAAAGCGACUACACUCAUUUAAACAGCUGAAUUAACAAAAUGCUUGUGUGCACUUGCACUGUCUGCUUUCACUCCAAACUUCAUGAACAGAAAAUGAUGCCAAAAAUACCCCGAGGUCAGUAGAAAUCAGCAGAAGUCCUAAGAAGGAACUCAGUGCCUGGACAGAAGUCAUCAGUAAAAGAGAAAAGAGAAAAGGAAGGAGGGGUUUGGGAGAAGCAAUCUAAGAACCAGCCGGACUUCUUAAAAGAAAUGAUGGAAAGCGUGACGGUGAGGACUGCCACAGGCGUGCUAGGCACCAGGAGCAGUCGGACACCAGGUCUGUAAGCUUUAUUCUAAGCAAGUGGCAACAAGGAUCAUUUUUUUGAGGUU